rnacentral:rRNA from 1 species
GACGAACCGUCCAAACGUUAUUCGGAAUCACUGGGCUUAAAGGGUGCGUAGGCGGCGCGGGAAGUUGGGUGUGAAAGCCCUCGGCUUAACCGAGGAACUGCGCCCAAAACUGCCGUGCUUGAGGGAGAUAUAGGUGAGCGGAACUUAGGGUGGAGCGGUGAAAUGCGUUGAGAUCCUAAGGAACACCAGUAGCGAAAGCGGCUCACUGGGUCUCUUCUGACGCUGAUGCACGAAAGCUAGGGGAGCGAAGAGG